rnacentral:rRNA from 1 species
AUGUCAGGAAAUUUUGGUAGAGGGUUUGGGGCUCAAAGAUUCAAUAGAGGGGGAGGAAAUGGAAAUAUAGGAGGAAGAUUCAACAAUACUGAGAAGGUGGGGAGAUGGAAUGGAGGGAGGCAUGCCUUCCCAAGGGGAUCUGGGAGUUUUGGGAGAGGGGGGAAUCGUUCUGGUACUGUGAAGGAUAUGGGCAGAGAUGCAGAGGAUGAAGACCCCAGAUCUGAGAGGAUCGAAGAGAAUCUGGUGUGGCAAGCUAAGGCAGGGAAAAAAGAUGCAGGGGGAGAGACUCCAAGGAUGGCUUGCGGUGAAAGAGAAGGUGCUGUAAUGAAAAAAGAGAGGAGCAACAAUCAGAUCUCUCAGUCAAAUCAGCAACAGCAGCAAUUGCUUUUGACUUCGCUGCUCUCUCAGCUGGUUCAGGGGAUGCAGGGCAGUGAGAAGGCCCAGGUGGAAGGAAUGGCUGGAAAUCGAAUUGGUAACAUGCUUGGAAAAGAAAGUCACAGAAAAGAGGAGGGAGCCCCUGAUGGGCAACAGAGAGUUGACAAGAUGGUAGAACAGGGAGCUGGACUGGAAAUGAAGAAGCAAGGGGGUAAGAGUGGUUGGCAGCAUGGGUAUGAAGAGAACAAGAGAAACUUUGACAGAUUUAACAAACAGGUAUGUGGUAAGUGUAAAUACCCCAGACACACCACCAAGGAUUGCAGGGUGGGGCACUGCUUGAUCUGUGGCAGAGAGAAUCAUAUUACAGGGGAGUGCAACUUGCUGAAACAGGUUAAACCAGUCCCAAAAUAUGUAGGGUAUGUAGCUAAAGGGCUGGGAAUUCUUCUGGUUCAGAGCUAUAAAGAUGUCCUGAUAGCAGAACAUACCAAUCCUUUGGGGGUGGUGAUCAUAAGAGAAGGAAGCAUUAAUGAGACUAAGCUUGUGAAAACUAUGGAGGAAAUGUUUGACUGGGGCUGGCAAUGGAGAGUGAGGGAAUUUGGAAAGAAUGGAUACAUGAUGAGAUUUCCCAAUAAAGCAAAGUUGGUGGAGCUGGCCAAGUUUAAUGACUUCAAACUGCUGGGGACAGGGGUGGUGAUCAAGGUUCAACCCUGGUCCCUUGAUCAUCAAGCUGUUGGGAAGAUGCACACCAUUUGGGUCAGGCUGGCCGAAGUUCCAGAUUGUUUCAGACACUUUUUGGGUGUUUGUGAGGUGGCUGCUGCAGUUGGACCUGUCCUGGAGAUUGAUAUGGAUAGUAUAAAUGAGGAGAAAAUUAGAGCAAAGUGUGGGAUCAGAGAUGUGGAGAAAAUACCAACUCAAGUGGAAAUCACUUCCCCUGAUCUUCUUAUGUUUAGAAUUGGGGUGGAAGCUGAGAAGAUGGUGGAGAUUGGUUGGUACAAGGAAGAGAAGAGGAGAAAUGGUAGCAGUAAUUUCUCAGAAGGGGGGAGGAAGAGAUUGACAACAGGAAGAGGACUAGAAUGGAGGAUAAUGAACAUAGAGGGGUUUCUCUGGGAUGCUUAUCCCUGA